GUCGAUCGUUUUCGUCCCGCGUCCUCAUGGGGCGUGGGGUGAACCAGUUGGUGCCUUGCGUGUUCCUCUYUGAGCCAUUGGCUUCUGCCUUGGCCCAUGCUCGGUGGCUGGUACUCUCGGAUGCUGAAAAUUGUGUGGGCAAGAGGGUUCAAACCCCCUCGACCAAGCCCGGGCCUAGCGCUCGUCGCUCAAACCGGAAGACGCUGCUCCUCGCCUCGGCCUCUCACUGAACCAUCGGUUCCUGU
rnacentral:misc_RNA from 1 species